rnacentral:rRNA from 1 species
UACGGAGGGGACUAGCGUUGUUCGGAAUUACUGGGCGUAAAGCGCACGUAGGCGGAUUUGUAAGUCAGGGGUGAAAUCCCGGGGCUCAACCUCGGAACUGCCUUUGAUACUGCAAAUCUCGAGUCCGGAAGAGGUGAGUGGAAUUCCUAGUGUAGCGGUGAAAUGCGCAGAUAUCAGGAGGAACACCAAUUGCGAAGGCAGCUCGCUGGGACGUUACUGACGCUGAGACGCGAAAGCGUGGGGAGCAAACAGG